UUGGGAAAGUUUUGUUUAGCAUGAUUCAGAAUAGUAGUGACUCUUUUAGAAAGACCAUGGAUAAGGUCCAACAAGUUGAGCGAACUUAUCAAGAGUUAACUAGAAGGAAAAGAGAAGCUAACACUGAGCGAGAAAGGAAAGAAAUUAUAGAAUGGUUACAAGAGUUUCCAUAUUAUCUUGAGGGGCCAUAAACAUAGAGUUUAAACUUUAUUAAAACAAAGGUAAAUGUUGAAUGCAUAUCUGGUGCCCACAAGUCUGGCAGUCUAACUGCAGUUUUCUAAACUAUUGUCUGCGGCUGAGAACUGUUUCCUGGACUGUACGUUCAGCUUUCCUCUUUGCAAGGGACAAUUGGUGGGGUGAGGAAUAAGAGCUGGAUGAUUGCCCAUUAUGAUGUACCUGUUCUAACUGCUUAAAUCUGUGCCAAGAAGUAAAGCUUUUCGCAGCAGC
rnacentral:lncRNA from 1 species